rnacentral:rRNA from 1 species
UACGUAGGGUGCAAGCGUUAAUCGGAAUUACUGGGCGUAAAGCGUGCGCAGGCGGUGAUGUAAGACAGAUGUGAAAUCCCCGGGCUCAACCUGGGAACUGCAUUUGUGACUGCAUCGCUAGAGUACGGUAGAGGAGAGUGGAAUUUCCGGUGUAGCGGUGAAAUGCGUAGAUAUCGGGAAAGGAACACCAGUGGCGAAGGCGACUCUCUGGACCAAUACUGACGCUGCAGCGGCGAAAGC